rnacentral:tRNA from 1 species
AGAGGGCGAGGCGGACGGGAAGCCACCGCACUGCUACCGCGGCACGCGUCAGGAAUGGCGCUACUGGGUUCGACUCCCAGGCCCUCUGCCA